rnacentral:lncRNA from 1 species
AAGCCCCGUCCGCGUCAAUGAUACAGCGGGUGAUAACUCUUUGACUCCAGGGAUGGCCCCAUCUCGGCUGUGGAUCUAAUCAGCUCCAUCUGACCGCCAGCCUCCACAGUGAAGCUUCCGGCUACAGCUUCCACUGCAGGACAGGAGUUGAAGUGAGUGCUUCAGGUGGAUAAGCUUCGGCGCUCUCAACCUGGUUUGGAUCGUUUGACUAUGGCUCCGCGUUCUUUACAAUCAUAAGCUCGAUCAUGAGGGUCCAAAU